AGCUCUGGGCAGCAGUGCCAGUGCCUCACCACCCUCUGAGUGAAGAAUUCCCUCCUAACAUCUAAUCUAAAUCUCCUCUACUUUGGGGUGGGGGAAUGGCAGCAGUGAUGAUCACAGGAAGACUUGGACUCACCUGUCGUGAGCCUCUGGGAAGAGAGACUGGAAGUUUGUGCAUCCAAACUUCCAGUGCACCACACAGACUGGGGCUUCUCUCUCCUUUCCAUUUAUUCACGAGUUACACAAAAGUAAUUUUUUGAAGUUAUUUAAUUCCUUUGGCAGACAGCAGCAUGCUCUGUAGAGCACCUUUGUGUCCUGAGUCUCUUCCUUCAGGCUGGGAAAAGAAAGAGCACCUCGCAGCCAGCUCCAGCUGGGCGUUAUUUCACCCUGCAUGCUUCCCUGCAGGACACCAAUGAGUACAAGUGUCUACAAAGCCUGCAGGAGUGUCAUCAAUGCUUUUUAAUGCUUUCCACACAUAGGGUAAUACCAAUGUGCUGAUUUGUUGUGCAGUGGCAUAGCAAGCAGUGCUGGUCCACUUUGAAGGAGGAGGUGGGCCAGUCACCACCACAUUUGCCUGGAGACACAGCCCACCCAGUGCUGAGGGCAUGCAUCCCUGAGAGAUGCUUCAGGCAUGCAUCCCUCCUCACUAGAGAUAAGGAGAGUCUCCAGCCUCCUCCAGAAAUCUUAAAAUUAGCCCUGCAUAUAACAGGUGCACAUUCAGUAGGAAAGAAAGAUGCUUCGCAUCUUCGCAACAAAUAUUAAACUGUAAAACGUAUCCAGAGGAACUUCCAGGAAAAACAGAGUUUAACCUGGUGCUGGACUGAGCAGGGAGUUCCGAGAGCUCCCAGGAGCUGAAGAAUGCCUGCUGGAGGAGCAGAACCUAGCAGAACCUCUACUAAUAUCCAGAAAGAUAACAUCAACUGGCUUGCCAAGCAGCUUGCUCCUUUUGUCCCAUUGCCACCCCAUGCAUGUGUUUUUAUCUCCCCAUUGUUUGGCCUCAAGAGCCUGCAUAUACCAUUUUGCAGGCUGCCUUGCUGCAGGGUUUGCAGCAUGCCCUCUGCAGGCAUUGCUGCUUUCCCCCUCCCUACAAAGAAAUGUGGGAUGCAGCAGAAUAAGCUGAGCAUCUCCCAUAAAUACAUCAAGCAAAGUGGCCCCAACCAACAGGCUGGGUGUUUGUCACCUCAGGUGUAGAGCUUCCUUGGAUGAUUAAAAAGUCACUAGAGACAGCUGGAGUCUUUCUUCAUUUAUGAUAAGGCCCAGCAUAAAAAUACAUUAGUGAUAAAUUCCUGACAUGUGCCCCUAUGUAUGGAGAACCCGUCUGCAGCAGCUGUGAGUUAUGACCCCAUAAUUCUUCCAAGGGGUUCCUAUGGCACCAUGGGUCAUUAAGCGGCACCUGGGAAGCCCUCUGUCAGCUGGGUGUGAGCACAGCCACCAGAAUCCCUAGGCUGGAAGCAGCGUGCCACGGCUCAGUGGCACCCCAGCCUUGUAGACAUGUCUUCUGCACUCCAGUUGAUGCAGACAAGGGUUAUUUUCCAAUACCAGCGACAGCGACACAAAAAGGCAAAGCCGAAAAAUAAAAUGAGCCACAAAGGCUGCGUGCUUCCCCAUGUGCCCCUUCUUAUAAUAAUGCCAUGUUCUCAGCACAGAUUAACCUGAGCUUUGCUCCCAAUUAUUAUUUCACUUUCCUAAGUGCAGAAACAGAAAGGGGCCUGACAAAUGAACUGAGUGCCGCUGUUACACGGUGCUUCCACUUCUGCAGCAGAAGUCUUUCACAAUGACCCGGGCUCUGCACCCCCAUGCCUUUUUACAGCAGCUAGGACACCAGGACCACAGUGUUUCCACCUUUCGAUCCACAGGGCUCUAAAGGCUUCCCAGCAGGGUUCCCAGCCUGUGGGGUGAAUCCUGAACUGUUGGUGCAACAGGGCUAAUUUGUGAGCUGCUAAGGUCCGAAAAACCUGCCCAGCUCCCCCAGCCUGACUUCCUCCCUUGUGUAUUGCACCUGAAGCAUUCGCCGUAUGCUCCUUCCAUUUGCAGGAACCAUGAGGGACAAACCAGGGGGUUGAUUGCAUCUGCUCAGAGCUGAUGGAGCAUUGCGGAAGUGAUCCUCCAACGAGGCACAAAUAAGUACAUCAAGGCAAAUCAGCCCCAGCACCCUGAAAGGCUGCCACAUGAGUGCUUGCACAACGUGUGAGGGUUACCAUCGAGCCAGGUAUCUGCUCCCUUCAGGUGAGCAGAGCACAAGGGGAAGGAGCCACGAGGCUAUUGAUCCCUUCCAGAGAGCAGCCUGCAAACAAUCUGAACCUAAAAGCAGAAAUCAUGGCAGCAGCUGGAUGCCUUUAGUGGGAAAAAAAGCCAAUUUGAGCCCUGCCUAACUUCUUCCUGCUGAAACAAACAUCGUCCACACUCACCCUUCUCCAUCCUCACUGCUUCCUGAGCCUUCUACUGUGUCCUCUACAAAGAACAGCAAUGUUUUGCUUUUUUUCUGAGGGUGUUUCUUCCUUGCUGCUAAUCAGACAGGCACGUACAUAGGAAAGCAACAUGAGCAUCUGAAGGCAAAGGGACACUUCUGAUGGUGGCAGGAUUUCUCCUCCUGCCUGGCAUGGGUAGCCAAGGAGACAAGCAAUGCCUGACCCCGCCGCCACCGGGUGAUUUGUGAUACAUCACUGCAUUUGCAGAAGUAGCAUUCCUCGAAGAGCUCAUCAAAAGCAGAAUAUGUUUCAAGAUGAAAACAUCCUGGUAAUAAACGGGCAGAAUUUGCAGCCCUUAGCAGCCUAACAGAAUAAACCGGUGUUAGCUAAGAGUUGCAUAAGGAUAUACCUCAGGGAAGCAAAGAGAUGCUGUUGUCUAUCAAAACAGGACUCCACUGACAACGUAUCUGAGAGGAUCCCCACGUCCUUCAGGCAGGCCCAACCAAAACACGGCAUCAAACUUGGCCAAUUUCCAUUUAAAAAGUUUUUCCACCAGCUUUCACAUAGCUUGGAUCAGCCCCAGAAAGGAGCGAGGUGUCAAUAUAGUACAUACUCUUCAGACCUCAGGACCUCAUUAGCAGAGCAGUGUGAAUAAUAGAUCUGCAGGUUCGCUGGUCCAGCUGAGAAAUCACACCCCCAGUACAAUGGUUUGGAGGUCAACAAAUUCAUUUUGAGUUGACCGAGAAUCCUUCAUUUUACUCAAAACAGUUUCUGGUUUCAGAUGAUUUUAUUUUUAACUGAACAAUCUUUUAACUGUGAACUUUUAAGAGAUGAAAACAUAAAUAAACUUCUUCGCUAGCACCCUGUUUUCAAACUCAAAUCCAAAGCCUGCAAAACCAGUCACCCAACCUGCCUUCUUGAUUAUGGUUGAUGGUGACCAUGCUUGGAAGCCAAGAUGCUCUGCACUGAAGCUUUGCAGCCCCGUGGUCACACAGAUGAAAUGGCACAAGCUCCAAAAUGACCUUUGCAGAUUGCAGAAGUAUGGAGUGGAAGCAGUUUGCAUGCAGGAUGUGGAUGCUGCCCCAUUGCCCUGCUCUGUUCUGCAGAUGGUGGAGCCAAGAGCAUGUCAUCACAGAGACACUGCUGCUUCCCAGCAGAGCAUUUAAGUCAACAUGGGAGGCAUUCAAGAGGUGGUUUAUAGAUGGUUUAGGUAUUUAUGGCAGGAGGGGGCAAGGUGGUGCCCAUUUCAGCAGUGCCACGCUAUCCCAUCCCCAGUUAGUAAUGAUGAUCACCCCGUGUUUGGCUCUCUGGUUCUCCAGACCAGGAAUAAUCCUCCCUGUAACGUGUUGUUUUUAUGAGCUGCAACAGAUGUUUCAGACCACACAUUAUUUGGCUCUGUCAGUGCCAGAACGAAGCAAGGAACUUCAUUACAGGCAGCCAAAGACGCGGGAUGGAUUUUGUCUGGCCAAUCAUCACAGCCAAAGCUGGAGCCUUGCCAGCACGCGUGGCUAAAACCUUCUCCUCCCACUCCAGCAAAGCAUCUCAGGAGAUCAUUAGAGACUGCACGUGACCGUCAGCGAUGAUUAAUCACAAAAAGUUGUUAUUUCUCAAAGGCAAUACAUGUUACAUCUCUAUCAUGGGUUUGACAGUAGUAACAACACUUACAAUUAAAGUUAGGUAAUACUGAUUAACAAGAUAAUGCUCACUGAUGAUCGUGUAUCUGCAUUGAGUCCCACGAGGUUUUUUUUCCCUAAGCCAAUAUUUCUCACCUACCAGGAGUAACAUUUAAGAGCACUCUAAAUACCUGGACUGGGCUCCAGCCACCCAGCUCCUGGGGAUAUGGGAACACAGGUGUUAUCAGUGCCUCACACCCUCUCCAGGCUGCACUGCCAGCCUCUUUGCAAGCAAUCCCCAAAAGUCUCACCACGGCUCCAUUCAGUAAGCGUUCGUGGAUUUUCAUAUGUAAAUAUAGUAAGAGGAUUGCAGGGGAGAGAUUUGUCUUGACUUGGAGAUUAGCUAUAGUUCCAAUUUGGCUAAUGUGAGGAAUGCCGCUGGCUAGAUCUUGACCACUUCAAUUAGCUCAGCAGUGCUUCUCUACAUCCCUGCUCCCAGGCCAGGUGCAGCUGGCAAUGGGAAGCCAGAGGCUUGCUGAAGCUUUGAGGGGAACAACAUUGCAAACAGCCUGGCUUGCAGAAAGGUGUUCCAGCACUGAGCCAGCACACCUCAGCUGAGCACCUCUGGUGCAUAUCUUGUACAUUAUGUUCCCACAGCUCCUCCCCAAACCCUGGUGCCCUGCUCUUCCUUGCUGCCUGAGCCACGAGAACCUCCAGGAUGAGGGAUGCACAUGAUGGUGCCCAGUGUGGCACCAGGGCACGAGAAAAGAGAUUGCAUGGCUCAGAGCAGAAAACCAGCACAGCUUGAUGUCUCUCUAGCAUCAUCUGUCACCCUGGGGUGGGCUUCCCAGCGAGCACCAUCACAAGCACCGUAUUAUUCUUUGGAAAUUAAAAAUAAAUACCUAUCAAUAGGACACACGCUCCCAAAGGAUGCAGAAAUGCAAAGGAAUAAGCUGUCUACAUCAGACUGCUCUUGGGGAUCCCUUCCAACUCAGGAUAUUCUAUGAUUCUAUGAUCCUGGACCAUCAGCCAGCAGGUCCCACCACACCUCAGGAUGCUCUCUGGACACCACUGUGAGCCUAAGAAUGUUAUUCCAAAGUCUGAGGGUCUUUGGAGGGCUGGAGCUAAUUCCAUUUUUUUGUUUGACAUGCACCAACUAUGCCCUGAAGUAUGGGACUUUUUGGCUUGAUUGGAAUUAUAAUAGUGCCUUUGUGCCAUACGAAACCAAAUCAAGGAAAUUGUUCAUAAAUGGCCUGCGUUUGAGAUGGAUCCAUUUAUUUAUCUCCAUCAAAUUUCCAUUCUUUCCCCUUGCUGCAUUUGCUAAUUAUCCAGUAUGCAUUUGCUUAAAGAAAGCAUUUUUCUAGCCUUCACAAUCCAUCUUCCCAACCUAAUGGAUCUUGUGGUAAAGUCAUUAUGGAGACUUUAUGAAAUCACAGUUAUUUCCAUGACAACAGUGAUGUAAUAAAGGUGGGAUUAUGACAUUACUGCAAGAUCAAGCUGAAGGACAGGAUGGAUUUGUUUACCCCAGAUAGGGCAAGGGAAAGACUUCAUUCACUCAACAUUUCUAAAAGUGCCUUAAGUCAUUUAUUAGGGAAAAAGCUCUUAUUCAAGGGCAUGCUGUUGAAGAAGUUUCAGAGGAGGAUCUGUGCUGUGGCUGUGCUCAUACCCCUUGCAAAGGCAGCAAUGCCUGGGGGAAGCCCUCCCCUCUGGCACUGGAAGGACAGACAGGAUGGUCUAUCCCCUUUCAAGGAUGGCUGAUCUAAGCUGCUUUCUCUUCAAAUGUUUUAAUAUAGAAAUCACCUGCCACUGGAUCACAGCA